rnacentral:rRNA from 1 species
CAAUAGCGUAUAUUAAAGUUGUUGCAGUUAGAACGCUCGUAGUCGGAUUUCGGGGCGGGGCGACCGGUCUGCCGAUGGGUACGCACUGGUCGGCGCGUCCUUCCUUCCGGAGACCGUGCCUACUCUUAACUGAGCGGGGGCGGGAGACGGAUCGUUUACUUUGAAAAAAUCAGAGUGUUUCAAGCAGGCAGUUUGCUCUUGCAUGGAUUAGCAUGGGAUAAUGAAAUAGGACUUUGGUGCUAUUUUGUUGGUUUCGAACACCGAAGUAAUGAUUAACAGGGACAGUCAGGGGCACUCGUAUUCCGCCGAGAGAGGUGAAAUUCUCAGACCAGCGGAAGACGAACUACUGCGAAAGCAUUUGCCAGGGAUGUUUUCACUGA